CAUGCCUAGAGCCCGUGCUCACAACAAGAGAAGCCACUGCAAUGAGAAGCCUGCGCACCACAAGGAAGAGUAGCCCCCACUCGCUGCAACUAGAGAAAGCCCACGAGCAGCAGCGAAGACCCAACACAGCCAAAAAUAAAAUAAAAUUAAUUAAUUAAUUUAAAAAAAGAAAGCUGCCAGUUGAAAAUUUAACUUUUUGAAAUUUUAAUUAAAUCCUAUGAAAUAUUUUUAUAAAAAUAAAACUAUUCAAGUAUUAGAUGCCUAUUUAGUUGCCAGCGUAACUUCAUGUGCCAUAUUUGUUAUACAUACAUAUGCAUAUAUACAAAUUGAAGAGUAAUAUUAAUUGUUUAGUACAGGAACAUGUUCCUCAGCCACUGUGGUCAACUGUGACCCUACUGGGAAAGGAUACAUCAUUAUGUAAGAAGGUACUACAUUCAUACUGACUGAGAGAAGGUUUGACAAGUUGAUUGAUUUAUCUUUUCUGUUACUUAAUCACUAUCACUGCUAAAUUCUCCCUGCAUCCCAAACAAGUGGCCAUCUGCAGGGUCAGCAACAGCAAAACCUAGGAAUCUUCACAGCAUUUGGUCACCAUCACCUUUUGUUUCAAUGAUAAAGGACAAGAGGCACUCUAUUGCCGGCUUUGAAGAAGCAAGCUGCCACUUUGGAGUGGCCCACGUGGCAAGAAACUGAGGGUGGCCUCUGGGAAAUAGCCAAAAAGAGACUGAUACCUUCAGUCCAACAACCUUUAAGGAACUGAAUCCUGCCAGCGAUCCAUGGAGCAAGAUUAGAAUCAGGUCUUUCCCCAACGAAGCCUUCAGAGGAGACCACUGGCAACACCCUGAUUGCAGCUUCAUGGGAGACCCUGAAGCAGAGGAUCCAGCUAAGCUUCUCCCAGGUUUCUGACUGACAGAAAUCAUGAAAUAAUGUGUGUUGUUUCGAGCUACUAGUUUUGGGGUAAUUUUAUAUAACAAGAGAUAAUUAAUACACUGAGCCAGAAUUAAGUGUCAGAUCCUUAGUAACAGAGAUACCCCUAUGUCCCUUCGAAAUUGUUUGUGUGUGUUGACAUGAGGUGUCCUCUUAAAUGUGGGCUCAAGGCAGAGUCCCUUCUUGCCUGGGUGUACUAAUAGUACCAGGACUAGUUCAUUAGUCUUCAAUUUUUUUGCUUGCAUGUUCCCUAAAAACAUUUUGGAAAACUAUGUGACCUCCUGCAUGUCUUUUACUUCAUAUCUCAUUUUUUCCUUGUAAAUUUAAAUAACUACAAACAGUGUAAAAAUUUUAGUAUCUUAUAAAUAUCAACAUUUAAAAAUAAGACUGUUUAUAUUACUGUUUUAAAUGUAACCAAUAGAACCUAAAUGCCAUAGCUUUUUUUUUUUUUUUUUGGCUAUGCCGUGAGGCAUGUGGGAUCUUAGUUCCCCAACCAGAGAUUGAACCCGUGCCCCUUGCAGUGGAAGAGCAGAAUCUUAACCACUGGACCGCCAGUGAAGUCCCAAUGCCAUAGCUUUUUGAUAUUCAACAUCAUCCUUUUGAAAAACAUAUGAAUAGGGACUUCUCAGGUGGUCUAGUUGUUGAGACUUCGCCUUCCAAUGCAAGGUUACAGGUUCAAUUCCUGAUCGGAGAGCUAGGAUCUCACAUGCCUCAGGCCAAAAAAACAAAAAACAUAAAACAGAAGCAAUACUGUAAAAAAUUCAAUAAAGACUUUAAAAAAAAAUGGAUGGUCCACAUCCAAAAAUAAAAUCUUUAAAAAAAAACCAGAUAGAACAUAUGAAUAAACUCUUCUUCAACAGCUGGACAUUUUACAUUAUUUACUUUUUCCUUGAAUUUAUAUUUCAUUCACUUCCACUACAUAAUUUUUUCUUAAUGUAUUUUAUAUGUGAAAGUCUUGUAUUGAUCUUUCUAUAUUUCUCUGUAACAAAAUAUAUUUUUUAAAAUUAGUUCUUUUUAUUUUCUUUUAACCAUAAUACUCUAAAUGUUUAAACUUUUCUUUUGGAUUGAACUAUUAGCAACAAAGCAAAUUGAUCAAAAUCACAUAAAUAUAUUAUACAUUUUGAUAGCUAUCAAUAAACAUAUAA